UACGUAGGGUGCAAGCGUUGUCCGGAAUUAUUGGGCGUAAAGAGCUCGUAGGCGGUUUGUCGCGUCUGCUGUGAAAACUCGGGGCUUAACUCCGGGCCUGCAGUGGGUACGGGCAGACUAGAGUGCGGUAGGGGAGACUGGAAUUCCUGGUGUAGCAGUGAAAUGCGCAGAUAUCGGGAGGAACACCAAUGGCGAAGGCAGCUCGCUGGGACGUGACUGACGCUGAGACGCGAAAGCGUGGGGAGCAAACAGG
rnacentral:rRNA from 1 species